AGAACGACUCUCGGCAACGGAUAUCUCGGCUCUCGCAUCGAUGAAGAACGUAGCGAAAUGCGAUACUUGGUGCGAAUUGCAGAAUCCCGUGAACCAUCGAGUCUUUGAACGCAAGUUGCGCCCGAAGCCUUCUGGCCGAGGGCACGUCUGUCUGGGCGUCA
rnacentral:rRNA from 1 species